CUCGUGUUAAACGAAGACAGUUUACAAUAUGGAAAAACUAUAAUUGUUGUUUUUUCAUAUAACGUGAUGAACCUCAUUUAAAAAUGAAACUCAUAAUACACUUGUAGGCCCGGCCCACAGAGAAAACUUAAGAAGCAAAGGUUUCCGACCUUCAUAAAUAUAUAUUUGUUUCGGCAAUCAAUGUACAAACUAUCCUUUAGUUUAGUGGUAUAAAUGUUGGUGUUUGUAACUCAAUAACCCGGGUUCGAGCAAUAGGCUUUACACUUUUUCACACUUUUUAAAAGUGGGACCCACCAAAAUACUGACGUGUCGGCUCAGGAAUGAAACAACUGCCUUAUUAUAUUAUAUUUUAAAAGUGGGACCUACCAAAAUGAUGACGUGUCGGCUCAGGAAUGAGGCAAGUGCCUUCCUCAUUAUAUUAUAGAUUCUAGGAGUGUAUAUCUUCUUAGAGAUCAAUCCCAUGUAAAGCGUAACAAUUUACCAAACUCUGUAUAUUUAUACGAUGUAUGAUAUCAAUGAAAAGGCAAGCGAAUUCACCUGCUUUCAAGAAGUAGGAUAUAUAAAACAUCAUAAAAAUCGAAGCAAAUUUACUAAAACGUAGGAUUAGAACUAGGCUGGUAUUCAAGUGUAUGGAACGCAUGUAUAUGGAACGUUAAUAUUGAUUUAACACUUUUAGUUAAUUAGUUUUCUACAGAAACUAUAGGAAACUCCAAAUCACAGAAACCAUAGAAGAACAAACAUGCCGACAAUUAACACUUUUACACUCUCUCCUAAAAUAAAAUCCAAAUCGGUGACCAAAGAUAUAUGGCUAGCUCACGCAACCAAUGCUUAGGGUACUUAAAC
rnacentral:lncRNA from 1 species